UACAGAGGUCUCGAGCGUUGUUCGGAUUCAUUGGGCGUAAAGGGUGCGUAGGCGGCGUGGCAAGUCUGAUGUGAAAUCCCGGGGCUCAACCCCGGAACUGCAUUGGAUACUAGCAGGCUGGAGUACGGUAGAGGAAGGUGGAAUUCCCGGUGUAGCAGUGAAAUGCGUAGAUAUCGGGAGGAACACCAGUGGCGAAGGCGGCCUUCUGGACCAGUACUGACGCUCAUGCACGAAAGCGUGGGGAGCAAACAGG
rnacentral:rRNA from 1 species